AACGAACGCUGGCGGCAGGCCUAACACAUGCAAGUCGAGCGAGGACUUCGGUCCUAGCGGCGGACGGGUGAGUAACGCGUGGGAACGUGCCCUUUGCUUCGGAAUAGCCCUGGGAAACUGGGAGUAAUACCGGAUGAGCCCUUUGGGGGAAAGAUUUAUCGGCGAAGGAUCGGCCCGCGUUGGAUUAGGUAGUUGGUGGGGUAAUGGCCUACCAAGCCGACGAUCCAUGGCUGGUUUGAGAGGAUGAUCAGCCACACUGGGACUGAGACACGGCCCAGACUCCUACGGGAAGCAGCAGUGGGGAAUCUUAGACAAUGGGGGAAACCCUGAUCUAGCCAUGCCGCGUGAGCGAUGAAGGCCUUAGGGUUGUAAAGCUCUUUCAGCUGGGAAGAUAAUGACGGUACCAGCAGAAGAAGCCCCGGCUAACUCCGUG
rnacentral:rRNA from 1 species